AUAAGGUAGUUCCGUAUUUUACUCCUAUCUACCGCGUCCAUUAGAAGAUUUGAACAGUCACCACCAUUCCACUUCAUCUCCCACGAUUCUCACGGCAGCUAAGGUUUCUCUGUAGCAGAUUUCGCCGCCGCCAGCCGGCGAUGUACCCCUCAAGGCCUGCAGGAAGAGGUGCAAGAAUAGGGCCUACGCGCUUGGAUGUGGCGUCUCGCCGCGGAGCAACCAGAGAUCAAGACGGAGGCUAGAUUAUGACGAGAGGGAGAUUGCUGCAGGAGACGAAAUAUUGGCCAAGUCGAUGUACCGAAUCCUCCUCCAAUGGCAGCAACAAUCAGCCUCCGCAAAGGGGACACCCUAAAUUGCAAGCCUGCUAUUGGAAGUGAAGGUGCUGGAAACAACUAGGAGUAGUUAUAAGAAUAAUUUGUUCAUUGAAACAAUAUGUGUUGUUCAUUUAAAAUUUAUGAUAUGUUUAUUUACAAAGUAUGUUCUGUUCAUUUAGAAAUUGUAAUCUGUUCAUUUACAAAUUGUGAUUCUCCGUUACCACACGUUCGAAAUAUUUAUCUGAGUGUUCAAUUUAUUCUCUA